ACACAUAUUUUGUAACAGAGGGAAGAGACCCUUCAUAGCUCUUGCUGUGUUCUCACUCUGACUGGGAUCAUAGGCCUGUCUGUCCAUUUUAGGUAAACGUUACAAUUCCUACAAAUUACCGGCAGUUCUGCGUUUAUCUGUUUUAGUUGUUAUUUCAGAUAACGGGUCUCUAAGAGGUUCUUAGCUUAUAAAUCCAAUUCAUCUGCAGAAAGAGUCUUCUUAGUUUCUAAGACCAACUCACCUGCCGAAAGAGUCUUCUUAGUUUCUAAGACCAACUCACCUGCAGAAAGAGGCCAUCAGACAGAGACCAGUUUUAGAAAGAGACAGACCAAUUACAGAUCAGAUCAGUCACCAGUCACAACAACCUGAUUGAGGAGAGAAACCAGACCAGUUCCAACACCCUGACUGAGGUGAAUGUGAUUAGAUAGUUAAAACAGUGUCUCCUCCAGUUGGACACAGACAGGGGGCAGAACUGUACUGAGAGGACACACACAUACUGUACCAAACGCAUGCAGACACACGCAGGCCACAUGCAGGCCACACACAACACACAAGUGACGUUCCCUUUAAAACCUCAGAUGAAGACAUUUUCCACAGAAACUUCAUAAUAUCUCUUCACACUGAUUUCACACACAGACAGCGUUGUUACAAAAGAAAUACCCCUAAAUGGUCAUCAGUGCGGUAAAGAGUUUGAGCCAUAACGUGCCCUCCGUUUGAAGGUUGCGGAAACAACCAACAUUCCUCACAAAGUGAUAGGCUGAAAGGUUGCACUUGUCACAAUUUGUUGUCCUGCAGCUGUCAUGUUAUAUAUUUUUGUUGUAUUGUACUGGAACAAACAACAAACUAUUAUUUAAUUUGUUCACUUAAGAAUCCCAAUAGUAUUCUGAUUGGGUGACACAAUUCUACCAAAAUAAUUCAUUUCUAAAAGGAAAAAAGUCAUCCAAUAUGAUUCUGAUAGAGGGAUUGUGAGACUCCUCUAAGUGAGAGAGAGAGAGAGAGAGAGAGAGAGAGAGAGAGAGAGAGAGAGAGAGAGAGAGAGAGAGAGAGAGAGAGAGAGAGAGAGAGAGAGAGAGAGAGAGAGAGAGAGAGAGAGAGAGAGAGAGGAGAAACAAUAAUGAGGGAUCACAGUUGUAGAGGUCAGGAGGUCAGGAGGUGAGGGUUGAGGUCAGUUCCCGGUAAGGGCGUGAUCAGGGUUAAUAACUGGUUACCUUCUUUCCUGUGGAGCCAUUAACUGUAAGAAGGAGGAGUGUCUUAAGUGGGAUAUCUAUAUCUGAGUGGGACAAAUGUUGAGUUGUCUGUUUUCAGCUGUACAGAACCUUUGGGGAAUGAUUAAACUUGGUUAAAGUUUCUCUAGUGUCCGUGAGUUAUUUACUCUGAAAAAUAAGAACCUAACAAUUUGUACAGACGUUCUAUCUAUUUUCAGCUUGACACACAACAACACAGAAUGGGAACAACAAUGGCAGUAGGUAGCGCAUAGGAUAUCUCUCUAGCUUAGCUCAACAAACAAAAAAAACAGAUUCAAAAGCAUCUUGUGUCACAGCACCUCUCCUCUUUCUAAAGAUCUAACUUAAGUGUACUUCACCUUCUGCUUUUUCCAGUCUCUCGUUUUCUGGCUCUCCUGGAUUUGACCCUUGCCUGUCCUGACUCUGAGCCUGACUGCCUGACCACUCUGCCUGCCCCUGAGCCUGCCUGCCGACCUGUACCUUUGCCUGCCCCUGUUGAAUUAUUAAACCAUUGUUAAUUUGU